ACAAAUCAUUACCACUGCCUGCGAAGUUUCUUGUGAGAAGGGAAUUCCUGAGAGAUUCCAAGAAAACGAAAAACAAAGAGAGAAUCUAGACUGUCAAAUGCAAGGACAUUUUAAAAGAUAAAAUCAAGAUCAAUGGAGAAAGCAAAGGAGGUGAAUGAAAAUUCAAGAGGAACAAUAGUUUCUUUAAAUCCAAAGUUCUUGGAUUUAUCCACAUCUUAAAUUUCUUGUUUUUUUUCUAGUCACCCUGCUCUUCUGGCCAGUGCCCCACUGGGGCUCUUUGCCAUUGACCAUGUGUUAAGAUGGAAUUUGAAAUGGGAUCUCUCUACAAUAACAACGUCUCAACCUGAAACUUGGAGCUGGGCCUCUUUACACUUAUCCCACCUGCAGCCCCUUUGAGCAGAGUUGCCUCUUUCUGACCUCAUCUACUCUUACUAACAUUCUUCCCUGGUUCUUUCAUCUACGAUCUAUUUCCUGGACUACAUGGGACUACUUGAAAAAACUCACCGACCCCUGCACUAGGUGAGACGACAACUUACAGACAACAGCUUUAUCUGUUUAAAGCUGAAUUUAACUCCUACGUCUUACUGUGUUUUAUCAGUGAGGAGACAGACCCACAGAGGGUAAGUAUCUCAAUGAAAAUCAUGUGAUGACCAAGAGACAAAGUCAAUAUUAAAUGCUAGCCUUCUAACCA
rnacentral:lncRNA from 1 species